AGGAGAGGAGUCGAGGAGAGGAGAGGAGAGGAGAGGAGAGGAAAGGAGAGGAUUGCCUCUAAAUGCUCCCUGGCUCUGCUGGAUAAAAAGACCUGGCUCUGACUCAAACCAGGCUCCUCUCUGAUCCCGGUGCUCUCCCACCUGCCAGUCCGGCUGUUGGAACUGAUUCCCAAACGUCUCGUUCCCGUCUUCAGGCCAGUCGGUGGUCUCUGAUAGGGGCCAUAAAGUGGCCUCCAUGUCUCGUUCAACGUGUUGAACUAGACUCUCUGCGUCCAUCGUCUUCUUCUUGCUCACCUGAUGAAAGAAACUUUGUGUUUAAGUGCACGUGCGUUAUGCGUUAUGCAUAAUGAGACGUGAUGAUGGACUGACUGUUAAUCGAAGGCUAAACGAUGUCCAUCUGAUUAGAUUUUUUAACAUUUGUUAGAAGCAAAUCUUGAUUUAAUAUGUUCUGGUAUAAGCCUAUAUAAUCUUCCAGAAUGUAAGACAACAGCCAAAGACAUCUGAGUCGCCAAAAUAUGAUUCCUAUGAGAAUAAACUGCUGCAAUCUUU